GCCUAACGGCUGAACUGGCAACUUGGAGAAGUGGCAAGUCUUCCAGUAUGGGGAGCAAAACAGCUAUGGGUCAAGUCCGAUAUCUUUAGGAGAAGUCUUAUUGUGAGGGCGAGUUAUAUAACACCAUAGGACUGGCCGUCCCAUAUGAAAAGAUUAUAUUAGAAUUGAAUGAAGCUUUGUUUAUAUAUUGAUAAUGACAGUAUAUAUAUCGUGUCUUGACUAAUUGCGUGCCAGCAGUCGCGGUAAUACGUAAGAGACUAGUGUUAUUCAUCUUAAUUAGGUUUAAAGGGUACCCAGACGGUCAAUAUAGCUUAUAAAAUGUUAGUACUUGACUAGAGUUUUAUGUAAGAGGGCAGUACUUGAGGAGGAGAGAUGAAAUUUCGUGAUACCAAAGGGACUCUGUAAAGGCGAAGGCAGCCCUCUAUGUAAAAACUGACGUUGAAGGACGAAGGCACAGAGAACAAACAGGAUUAGAUACCCAAGUAGUCUUUGCAGUAAAUGAUGAAUGCCAUAGGUUAGAUUAAUAGUUAAUGUUUAUAGGCUAAUUAUUGGCUUAGCUUAGCAAACUAAUGCUAUAGACUAGACAUUAAAAAUUAUUUGGUCUAUAAAUGAAAGUGUAAGCAUUUCACCUCAAGAGUAAUGUGGCAACGCAGGAACUGAAAUCACUAGACCGUUUCUGACACCAGUAGUGAAGUAU
rnacentral:rRNA from 1 species